AACCCAAAGGACUUGACGGUAUCCCACCCAACUAGAGGAGCCUGUUCUAUAAUCGAUAACCCACGAUAUACCUAACCAUUCUCUCGCUGUCAGCCNGUAUACCUCCGUCGCAAGCUAACCUGUUGAAUAUACAAUAGUGAGACUGACAAGGCCUUCACCAUAACGUCAGGUCAAGGUGCAGCAUAUGAAAUGGAAGUAAUGGGCUACUAUCUCUAAUCUAGCAUAAACGAAAAAAUACAUGAAAUAUAGUAAUGAAGGAGGAUUUAGCAGUAUAUAAGAACUAGAGCAGCCUAUUAAACUGGCCCUGGGAUGUGUACAAACCGCCCGUCACCCU
rnacentral:rRNA from 1 species